UAUGUAGGGUCCGAGCGUUGUCCGGAAUUAUUGGGCGUAAAGAGCUCGUAGGCGGUCUGUUGCGUCGGUUGUGAAAACCUGGGGCUCAACUCCAGGUCUGCAGUCGAUACGGGCAAACUGGAGUUCGGUAGGGGAGACUGGAAUUCCUGGUGUAGCGGUGAAAUGCGCAGAUAUCAGGAGGAACACCGGUGGCGAAGGCGGGUCUCUGGGCCGAUACUGACGCUGAGGAGCGAAAGCGUGGGGAGCGAACAGG
rnacentral:rRNA from 1 species